rnacentral:rRNA from 1 species
UACGAAGGGGGCUAGCGUUGCUCGGAAUCACUGGGCGUAAAGCGCACGUAGGCGGGUCGUUAAGUCGGGGGUGAAAUCCUGGAGCUCAACUCCAGAACUGCCUUCGAUACUGGCGAUCUUGAGUCUGGGAGAGGUGAGUGGAACUCCGAGUGUAGAGGUGAAAUUCGUAGAUAUUCGGAAGAACACCAGUGGCGAAGGCGGCUCACUGGCCCGAUACUGACGCUGAGGCACGAAAGCGUGGGGAGCAAACAGG